rnacentral:rRNA from 1 species
AACGAACGCUGGCGGCAUGCCUAACACAUGCAAGUCGAACGAGACCUUCGGGUCUAGUGGCGCACGGGUGCGUAACGCGUGGGAACCUGCCUUUAGGUUCGGAAUAACUCAGAGAAAUUUGAGCUAAUACCGGAUAAUGUCUUCGGACCAAAGAUUUAUCGCCUUUAGAUGGGCCCGCGUUGGAUUAGCUAGUUGGUGGGGUAAAGGCCUACCAAGGCGACGAUCCAUAGCUGGUCUGAGAGGAUGAUCAGCCACACUGGGACUGAGACACGGCCCAGACUCCUACGGGAGGCAGCAGUGGGGAAUAUUGGACAAUGGGCGAAAGCCUGAUCCAGCAAUGCCGCGU